AUGAACGCUGGCGGCGUGCCUAAUACAUGCAAGUCGAGCGAACAGACGAGGAGCUUGCUCCUCUGACGUUAGCGGCGGACGGGUGAGUAACACGUGGAUAACCUACCUAUAAGACUGGGAUAACUUCGGGAAACCGGAGCUAAUACCGGAUAAUAUAUUGAACCGCAUGGUUCAAUAGUGAAAGACGGUUUUGCUGUCACUUAUAGAUGGAUCCGCGCCGCAUUAGCUAGUUGGUAAGGUAACGGCUUACCAAGGCAACGAUGCGUAGCCGACCUGAGAGGGUGAUCGGCCACACUGGAACUGAGACACGGUCCAGACUCCUACGGGAGGCAGCAGUAGGGAAUCUUCCGCAAUGGGCGAAAGCCUGACGGAGCAACGCCGCGUGAGUGAUGAAGGUCUUCGGAUCGUAAAACUCUGUUAUUAGGGAAGAACAAAUGUGUAAGUAACUAUGCACGUGUUGACGGUACCUAAUCAGAAAGCCACGGCUAACUACGUG
rnacentral:rRNA from 1 species